rnacentral:rRNA from 1 species
GACGAACGCUGGCGGCGUGCUAAACACAUGCAAGUCGAACGGUAAGGCCCUUCGGGGUACACGAGUGGCGAACGGGGGGGUAACACGUGGGUGAUCUGCCCUGCACUUCGGGAUAAGCCUGGGAAACUGGGUCUAAUACCGGAGAGGACCACGGCCUGAAUGGGGGGUGGGGGAAAGCUUGUGCGGGGUGCGAUGGGCCCGCGGCCUAUCAGCUUGUUGGUGGGGUGAUGGCCUACCACGGCGCCGACGGGUAGCCGGCCUGAGAGGGUGACCGGCCACACUGGGACUGAGAUACGGCCCAGCCUCCUACGGGAGGCAGCAGUGGGGAAUAUUGCACAAUGGGCGCAAGCCUGAUGCAGCGACGCCGCGUGAGGGAUGACGGCCUUCGGGUUGUAAACCUCUUUCAGCACCGACGAAGCGCAAGUGACGGUAGGUGCAGAAGAAGGACCGGCCAACUACGUGCCAGCCGCCGCCGUAA